GGUGAGUCACUGCUCCUAGCCUUUCCUUCUCUUCUUGAUCAGGUUUGUCACCAUCUGAUUCCCAUAUAUUUUAUGAAUUUAUUUCUUUAUUAUCCACCCCUUUAGAAUACAAUGAGCUUGAUGAGGGCAAGGAUUUUGUGUCUGUUUCAUUUACUGCUGUAUGUCUAGCACCUACAACAGUGCCUGGCACAUAGUAAGCACUCGCUAAAUUUCUGUUGAAUAAAUAAACUGAUUAAAGGAGGCUUCCUGUAUUAUGAUUGCCUAUCUCCAUGCUGGUCUCCUGUAUGCCACUGGGAGUCCUUUGAAGGUCGUCACCAGGACAGUUCAUUUUUGCAUGUAGAUCGUGCCUGGCACAUAGUCAAUACCAGAAAGUGGUUGUUCAUUUUAUGUUUCAGAGCACCUUGACGGUUCCGACGGUGUGAUAACAAGGUCUGAAACCUUAUAGCUGUGCAUUCUAUUUUUUUUGAGACGGAGUUUCGCUCUUUUUGCCCAGGCUGGAAUGCAAUGGCGUGAUCUCGGCUCACCACAACCUCCGCCUCCCGGGUUCAAGUGAUUCUCCUGCCUCAGCCUCCUGAAUAGCUGGGAUUACAGGCAUGCACCACCACCCCGGCUAAUUUUUGUAUUUUUAGUAGAGACGGGGGUUUCUCCAUGUUGGUCAGGCUGGUCUUGAACUCUCGACCUCAGGUGAUCCACCCCCCCGCCCUCGGCCUCCCAAAGUGCUGGGAUUACAGGCGUGAGCCACCGUGCCCGGCCUACAGCCUUGCAUUCUUAAUCAUGAAAGUGUCCAACCGAGGUUGGAAAUUUUCAACAGUGGUCCAUGAAGUGCAGAUGUGAGGUGCACUGUACCUCAGCCAGACGGUUCUCAUUGGACCUUUUGGGUUCUGCAAAUUCAAAGCAGGUAAAUUGGAAUGCAGCUUCAGUUAAGUGUAUAUUUAGUAAAAACAUGUCCUGGCAGUAUUUGUUACCUCCUGGGAGAAAUGCAUCUUACACUUGACUGUCUUCAGCCUUUAAGUUUCUGCCAGACUCCAGGAGAAGGCUGAGGGGAAGGAGCGAGCAUGUUUGUGGGAUCAGUGCAUAUACUCACACAUGCCAUUAUCCACAUGCUGUGAAGU
rnacentral:lncRNA from 1 species